rnacentral:rRNA from 1 species
GUUAGCGGCGGACGGGUGAGUAACACGUGGGUAACCUGCCCAAAAGACUGGGUAACUCCGGGAAACCGGGGCUAAUACCGGUAACAUUUUGAACCGCAUGGUUCGAAAUUGAAAGGCGGCUUCGGCUGUCACUUAUGGAUGGACCCGCGUCGCAUUAGCUAGUUGGUGAGGUAACGGCUCACCAAGGCAACGAUGCGUAGCCGACCUGAGAGGGUGAUCGGCCACACUGGGACUGAGACACGGCCCAGACUCCUACGGGAGGCAGCAGUAGGGAAUCUUCCGCAAUGGACGAAAGUCUGACGGAGCAACGCCGCGUGAGUGAUGAAGGCUUUCGGGUCGUAAAACUCUGUUGUUAGGGAAGAACAAGUGCUAGUUGAAUAAGCUGGCACCUUGACGGUACCUAACCAGAAAGCCACGGCUAACUACGUGCCAGCAGCCGCGGU